rnacentral:sRNA from 1 species
UUUUAAAGCUUUUUACAAUAGUUUUACAAGAUUUACAAUUGUUUUUUAAGCAUAAGUAAUUGACAUUGAAUGAUUUACAAGGGAUUUUAAAAGAUUAUAAAAGAGUAAAACAUGAUUUAUAAUCGUUUUAAAGCUUAAAGCAUAAGUAAGUGGCAUAGAAUGAUUUACAAGGGAUUUAAAAAGGGUUAGCAUGGUUUACAAUCGUUUUUUAGCAUAAGUAAGUGGCAUUGAAUGAUUUACAAGGGAUUUUAAAAGCUUAUAAAAUGGUAAAAUAUGAUUUACAAUCGUUUUUAAAGCAUAAGUAAGUGACAUAGAAUGAUUUACAAGGAUUUUUAAAAAGGGUUAGCAUGGUUUACAAUCUUUUUUUAAGUAUAAGUAAGUGGUAUUGGAAUGAUUUACAGGGGAUUUUAAAAGCUUAUAAAAGGGUAAAACAUCAUUUACAAUCGUUUUUAAAGCAUAAGUAAGUGGCAUAUAUAGAAUGAUUUACAAAGGAUUUUAAAAGUGUUUGUAUGGUUUACAAUCGUUUUAAAACAUAAGUAAGUGGCAUUGAAUGAUUUACAAGGGAAUUUAAAAGGGGUUAACAUGAUUUACAAUCGUUUUUAAAAAAGGUUUGCAUGGUUUACAAUCGUUUUUAAAAGAUAAGUAAGUGGUAUAUAAUGAUUUACAAGGAUUUUAAAAGCUUAUAAAACGGUAAAACAUGAUUUACAAGAGUUUUUAAAAAGUUUUAAAACUCUUAUAAAGUCUUUACAAACAUUUUUUAACUCUUAGAAAAAGAAUUGUAAGUAUUUAAAACAUUUACAACUCUUUUUGAACCAUUUUAAAACUCUUGUGAACCUUUACAAAAGGUUUUAAAAAGAUUUACAAGAGUUUUUAAAGGGUUUUCUUAUAAUUUUUUUUAAAAUCUUUUAAAAACUCUUGUACAUCUUUUAAAACCCUUUAAAAAUCCCUUUAAAAUAUUUUAAAACACUUUUAAACCCUUUAAAAAUCUUUAAAAAACUCUUGUAAGUCUUUUAAAGCCUUUUAAAAUCCCUUAUAAAUCUUUUUAAACCCUUUUAAAAUCUCUUGUAAAUCUUUUAAACCCUUUUAAAAUCUCUUAAAUAUUUUAAAACCCUUUUAAAAUCCCUUGUAAAUCUAUUUCCCGCCAAAAAAAAAAUUUUACGGGAAAAAUAUUUUCAAUUUUUUUUUUUUGGCGGGAAAAUUUUUUCCGAAAUUUUUUGGCCGGAAAAAUGUUUUU